UCAUGUAACCAGGUAUACAAAGCAUCGAAGAUAAAGCCGUCAUCCAGCCAAGCACAUGCGACCACCAUGGAUAUUCAUAGUCUAAAUAUUUUACAGGUGUCCAUUGUACGAGAUUGAAAAUGAAGACGCCCUAUUAAAAUUUUUAAAGAUUGAGAAUAAUAAUAAUUCUAUCUAAAUUAAAACAUAAAUUAAAGCUAGACGAAAAAAUUAGAAAGUAGUCUCAGUAAUCUUUGACUUAUAAAAUAAAGGAUGAACUCUACUUACGACACAAAUCAUGGGGGUGGUAAUAGUCCAACAUAGCUUCCACCACAUUAGAGGGAAGAGAAGACAGAACCCAGACACUGCGUAUGAAUCCAAGAUUUGAAAGACAUACAUGCCACCUUGUGAAAUACAAGAUAAUCCAAUAAUGUAAGAAAGCACGCAAACUAUCGCAAUGAAUAAUUCCUUACGCCGGCGAAGCAACUGCGGCCAUUCGUCCACCUUGAAUGUUAAAUAUUUUACAAGGGAUUAAAAAUUGUUUAUUAAAUAUA